UUAUCUCUCUUGUGGUAAUUCUUUUACUUCAUGCUUAUGUCAAGUGCCUUGUCAAGAGAGUUCGGGGUUUUAUUCUCCAUGUUAUGUCUAGGGUGUACUUUGGAUCGUGACAGUAAAGCAGCUACAUAAGAGUAUAUCAGGAAAACAAGCAGUUGGCAAAGCCUGUUCCCGCUGAACAAACAAUCUACUGAGGGAGGAUUAGAUAGAUUUGAGAAGCAUCAUAGAAUAGCCACUAGAUGAUCCUUUGCU
rnacentral:lncRNA from 1 species